UCCGCCAUCUGCAGCUCCCUGCAGACUUGCAUGCUCAGACGGGAGCUGUCCACCGCCUGCAACAGGAAAAGGGCUUGCUUGCGUGUGGUAACCACCUUCUUCAACUUUCUCUGGAAGGAUUGUGGAGAGACCUUUUUCUGCUAGAGAAAGUGUGCAACAUGGUAAAGAGAACUGUAGGAAGAGAAAUGGCAGCCCUGCUUGAGCAGUGAGAAUAAUAAAAUGGUCAUCUGGAGAGCUCCAGAGACAGUUGGCAAGGUUCAAAUUCAAGCUUUACCAGAUUCUAGGGAUACAAUGGUGAACAGGCAAAUGAUGAAGUCAAGUCCUGGAGAUGACUGGUGUUUAGUCCCUAG
rnacentral:lncRNA from 1 species